UUAAUUGAAUGAAAGAACAUAAGAGGAACUAGGGUUAUGUGGCGUCGUUUCUCCUCCUCUCUCUCUCAGAAUUCUCACUCUCGUUCUUCUCUCGCAAACCAACGACGGCGCCGGAGAAAUCUGUUUCUCCGAGCGGCCACCAUCACCGAACGCCAAAACACUUCCCCUUUGAUUCAUUCCCGCGCUCAUUUUGUCGAUUCGAAAGAUAAUCACUCAAAAUCUUCCUCUCGAGCCCUAAAUUGAAAACCCUAAGAACUAAGGUGAUGAUGAAACCGAGUUUGAGACCAUGGGGGAAAGAAAUAGGGGGUCUCAACCUUCACGGUAGUAUCAAGAAAGCACAGAGAGGACGAAUAAUCGACGGAUUCGAAAAGCUUACCUGAAGGGCGCAAAGUAUGAAGACAAGCUCUAAUUUCAGGUAAUAGUGCGAUCUUCCACUUCCUGCAAUGCUCCGUCUUCUUCUUCAGUUCUUAUGAUGAAUUGUUGAGUUCUCCCUUUGCCCUGUUUGCGAUCCUCUCACCCUUCUUCCUCUUUAAUUUCUGUUAUGCAAAUUUUAUGAAGUUUUGUUGUUGCUGCGAGGUUGAGCGGAAUGAUGAAGGUGAUGUGAUGAGGUUUGCAGAGAGUUGAUGGAGAUUCUUGGUGAUGAUCGGAGAUUGAUGUUGAAGGAGGUUCAGAGGUGAUAGUGAGAAAAUGGUGAAGGUUUUGAGGCUCUACCCUUCUUCCUUCAAAGUCUGCAAGCGAGACAAUGAUGAAGACUGAUAGUGCUUUUUUCUGGUGUCCAUUGUAGGUGGGUGAAGCUGACUAUUUAUAGGAGCAAUCAUUGGGUGAUCAUUAGGAAUCCUUAGAUGUGGGACUCGGCACUAUAGCUUGCAAGGUAUUUUUCAGUUUCUUGAAUGUGGGACUUGCAUUUGAUUUCUGAUUUUCUGGUUUGGGUUAUAUACAGGGCUGUUAGUUUUUGAAUAUGUGUGUUAAUACAUGGUAUAAACUGGAUGGGUGGUUAAUAAUAUGAUAAACGUAGGGCUGGCUGCAAUAUUAGAAGUGGUCAAGAAGGUCUGUUAUGAGUUUCUAUGCGUAGAAUAUGGAAGGACUGAAUGUGUGAAAUGUAGUAGGUUUUAGAAACUAAUUUGAACUGUCAAUUUUGAUUGUGUAUGAAUGCAGCGACUGGUUUCUUGAAUAUAAAUAUAUGGUAUAUGCAAGGACUGUUUUAUGGUUAUGACUGGAACGGACUUAACUAAUAUUGUUAGGUUCGGUUUUGUGAUUGGCUUUAAUAUGUGACUGUUUUAUUUUUGUCAAUUGGAACUCUGAUGCUGCAGGCUUUGUAACUCUGUUUUCCUUCUCUUUGAUGUUAGCAGCAGGGCCUUUUCUUUUUUAUCUUUGCUGUUGAAUCAAUGUGUAGGACUGUUUUUGAUUGAGUUAGAUUUUGUAGGUGCUAAUUUGAAUAUAUGGAGCUGUUUGGCAUGGAUAUAGUUAUUGAUAGGUUUGGAUUGGUUAAUGCGUGUUGAGUCCCUUUUUUUGUAUGCAGCAAAUUUGGAGUUGCAUGAAUGCUUGGUUGAUAAGGGUCAAGUUAAGGCUGCCGGAGAAGUUAUUGGCAAAGCUGGAAGUUGUUCACAGCAAAAGGACUGGCUCACGUAUUCUGCCGCAGCAGAUGGACACAUUGAAGCUGCCCGGUUUGACAAAUCAUUUGCAAUGUUGACAGCAUGGAGCUUGAAGGAUAAACCUGAUGAUGAUUCAGUUUUUUUUUGUUGUAAGUACAGGAUCACAUGGCUGAACUGAUAUGUGUUUAUCUCUUGCGCAGAUGGCUUGGAAUUGGGAAAAAGAUGGAAGGCAUGAUUAAGAAAUCAGGGACUAGUUUUAGGAACUUUGGAUCAUAAUGUAUUUUAUGUAAAUAUGUAAAUCUCAAGGUGUUUGUAUUUGGCAAUGUAUGUGUUUUUCUUUUUUCUUCCUGUAAGGGAUUCUUGACUUUGGCUCAGUUAAUUCAUGUAAUACAACAGGACCUUUAUGCA